rnacentral:misc_RNA from 1 species
GAUGAAGAACGUAGCAAAAUGCGAUAAGUAAUGUGAAUUGCAGAAUUCAGUGAAUCAUCGAAUCUUUGAACGCACAUUGCGCCCGCUGGUAUUCCGGCGGGCAUGCCUGUUCGAGCGUCAUUUCAACCCUCAAGCCCCCGGGUUUGGUGUUGGGGAUCGGCUCUGCCCUUCUGGGCGGUGCCGCCCCCGAAAUACAUUGGCGGUCUCGCUGCAGCCUCCAUUGCGUAGUAGCUAACACCUCGCAACUGGAACGCGGCGCGGCCAUGCCGUAAAACCCCAACUUCUGAAUGUUGACCUCGGAUCAGGUAGGAAUACCCGCUGAACUUAAGCAUAUCAAUAAGCGGAAGA